rnacentral:rRNA from 1 species
UCGGGAAUUUUGGGCAAUGGGCGAAAGCCUGACCCAGCAACGCCGCGUGAGGGAUGAAGUAUUUCGGUAUGUAAACCUCGCAAGAAUGGGAAGAAUAAAUGACGGUACCAUUUAUAAGCUCCGGCUAACUACGUGCCAGCAGCCGCGGUAAUACGUAGGGAGCAAGCGUUGUUCGGAUUUACUGGGCGUAAAGGGCGCGUAGGCGGCGCGGUAAGUCACUUGUGAAAUCUCUGAGCUUAACUCAGAACGGCCAAGUGAUACUGCUGUGCUAGAGUGCGGAAGAGGCAACCGGAAUUCUUGGUGUAGCGGUGAAAUGCGUAGAUAUCAAGAGGAACACCUGAGGCGAAGGCGGGUUGCUGGGCCGACACUGACGCUGAUGCGCGAAAGCCAGGGGAGCAAACG